rnacentral:rRNA from 1 species
ACUCUGAUGCAGUGACACCGCGUAUAGGAAGAAGGUCUUAGGAUUGUAAGCUAUUGUCGUGUGAGAAGAAAAUGACCAUCACAGGAGGAAGCCCUGGCUAAAUAUGUGCCAGCAGCCGCGGUAAUACAUAUGGGGCGAGCGUUAUCCGGAUUUAUUGGGUGUAAAGGGUGCGUAGACGGAAAUGCAAGUUAGUUGUGAAAUACCUCGGCUUAACUGAGGAACUGCAACUAAAACUAUAUUUCUUGAGUAUCGGAGGGGUUUGUGGAAUUCCUAGUGUAGCGGUGAAAUGCGUAGAGAUUAGGAGGAACACCAGUGGCGAAGGCGACUUUCUGGGCAACAACUGACGCUGAGGCACGAAAGUGUGGGGAGCAAACAGGAUUAGAUACCCUGGUAGUCCACACCGUAAACGAUGGAUACUAGGUGUUGGCAAUGAAUAAUUGUCGGUGCCGGCGCUAACGCAAUAAGUAUCCCACCUGGGGAGUACGACCGCAAGGUUGAAACUCAAAGGAAUUGACGGGGGCCCGCACAAGCAGUGGAGUAUGUGGUUUAAUUCGAAGAUACGCGAAGAACCUUACCAAGGCUUGACAUACAGAGGAAUAAGUAGGAAACUAUUUAGCUCUUCGGAGUCUCUGUACAGGUGGUGCAUGGUUGUCGUCAGCUCGUGUCGUGAGAUGUUAGGUUAAGUCCUGCAACGAGCGCAACCCCUAUUUCUAGUUGCCAGCACAUAAUGGUGGGAACUCUAGAAAGACUGCCGGUGAUAAAUCGGAGGAAGGUGGGGACGACGUCAAAUCAUCAUGCCCUUUAUGUCUUGGGCAACACACGUACUACAAUGGCCGUUACAGAGAGAAGCAAUACAGUGAUGUGGAGCAAAACUCAAAAAGCGGUCUCAGUUCGGACUGUAGGCUGAAAU